rnacentral:rRNA from 1 species
CAAGUCGAACGGGAUUUUUUUCUGUAGCAAUACAGAAAAAAGUCUAGUGGCGAACGGGUGCGUAACACGUGAGCAACCUACCGUGAAGUGGGGGAUAGCUCGCCGAAAGGCGAAUUAAUACCGCAUGUGGCCAGGAAGGACAUCCUUCCGACGCCAAAGCCGGGGUAACCUGGCGCUUCUCGAGGGGCUCGCGGCCUAUCAGCUUGUUGGUGAGGUAACGGCUCACCAAGGCUAUGACGGGUAGCUGGUCUGAGAGGACGACCAGCCACACUGGAACUGAGACACGGUCCAGACACCUACGGGUGGCAGCAGUCGAGAAUUUUUCACAAUGGGGGAAACCCUGAUGGAGCGACGCCGCGUGGAGGAUGACGGUUUUCGGAUUGUAAACUCCUGUCAUUAGAGAACAAGGCACAUGGUUUAACUGGCCGUGUGUUGAUAGUAUCUGAAGAGGAAGAGACGGCUAACUCUGUGCCAGCAGCCGCGGUAAUACAGAGGUCUCAAGCGUUGUUCGGAUUCAUUGGGCGUAAAGGGUGCGUAGGUGGCGAGGUAAGUCGGAUGUGAAAUCUCCAAGCUCAACUUGGAAACUGCAUUCGAUACUGCUUUGCUAGAGGAUUGUAGAGGGCAUUGGAAUUCACGGUGUAGCAGUGAAAUGCGUAGAUAUCGUGAGGAAGACCAGUGGCGAAGGCGAAUGCCUGGGCAAUUCCUGACACUGAGGCACGAAGGCCAGGGGAGCAAACGGGAUUAGAUACCCCGGUAGUCCUGGCAGUAAACGGUGCACGUUUGGUGUGGGAGGAUUCGACCCCUUCCGUGCCGGAGCUAACGCGUUAAACGUGCCGCCUGGGGAGUACGGUCGCAAGAUUAAAACUCAAAGAAAUUGACGG